GACGAACGCUGGCGGCGUGCUUAACACAUGCAAGUCGAACGGAGUGGCGAACGGGUGAGUAACACGUGGGUGACCUGCCCUGCACUUCGGGAUAAGCCUGGGAAACUGGGUCUAAUACCGGAUAGUGCAAGAUGAGCUCGCGGCCUAUCAGCUUGUUGGUGGGGUAAUGGCCUACCAAGGCGUCGACGGGUAGCCGGCCUGAGAGGGUGUACGGCCACAUUGGGACUGAGAUACGGCCCAGACUCCUACGGGAGGCAGCAGUGGGGAAUAUUGCACAAUGGGCGGAAGCCUGAUGCAGCGACGCCGCGUGGGGGAUGAAGGCCUUCGGGUUGUAAACUCCUUUCGACAGGGACGCGGUACCUGUAUAAGAAGCACCGGCUAACUACGUGCCAGCAGCCGCGGUAAUAC
rnacentral:rRNA from 1 species